GAUGAACGCUGGCGGCGUGCCUAAUACAUGCAAGUCGAACGCGCCGAGAAGGGAACUUGUUCCUUUCAACGCGAGUGGCGAACGGGUGAGUAACACGUGUGAAACCUACCCUUCAGCGGGGGAUAACCAUCGGAAACGAUGACUAAUACCGCAUAGUUGUUCCAUUCGCAUGACUGUAAUGGGAAAGACGGCUUCGUCUGUCACUGUAGGAUUGUCCCGCGGUGCAUUAGCUAGACGGUGGGGUAACGGCCUACCGUGGCUUUGAUGCAUAGCCGACCUGAGAGGGUGAUCGGCCACAUUGGGACUGAGACACGGACCAAACUCCUACGGGAGGCAGCAGUAGGGAAUCUUACGCAAUGGACGCAAGUCUGACGGAGCAACGCCGCGUGUGGGAAGAAGGUCUUCGGAUCGUAAAGCACUGUUAUCAGAGAAGAAUAGCCAAUAGAGUAACUGUUAUAGGUUUGACGGUAACUGAUCAGAAAGCCACGGCUAACUACGUG
rnacentral:rRNA from 1 species